rnacentral:rRNA from 1 species
AGUGAACGCUGGCGGUAGGCCUAACACAUGCAAGUCGAACGGAAGCACAGUAAGAGCUUGCUCUUACGGGUGGCGAGUGGCGGACGGGUGAGGAAUACAUCGGAAUCUACUUUUUCGUGGGGGAUAACGGAGGGAAACUUACGCUAAUACCGCAUACUACCUACGGGUGAAAGCAAGGGAUCUUCGGACCUUGCGCGAUUCAAUGAGCCGAUGCCGGAUUAGCUAGUUGGCGGGGUAAAGGCCCACCAAGGCGACGAUCCGUAGCUGGUCUGAGAGGAUGAUCAGCCACACUGGAACUGAGACACGGUCCAGACUCCUACGGGAGGCAGCAGUGGGGAAUAUUGGACAAUGGGCGCAAGCCUGAUCCAGCCAUGCCGCGUGGGUGAAGAAGGCCUUCGGGUUGUAAAGCCCUUUUGUUGGGAAAGAAAAGCAGCAGGUUAAUCCCCCGCUGUUCUGACGGUACCCAAAGAAUAAGCACCGGCUAACUUCGUG